rnacentral:misc_RNA from 1 species
AUGCAGAAACGUUGUUGCUUUUAACCGAGCAAGCUUUUUGUUGUGACUAGAGUGGAGGAAACACUCAGCACGCGGGACACUUCAUACCAUUUGACAACGUACAGAGCGCGGCAGCAUACCGUAGCCAUCUUUUUCGUCUCUUCCGCGAAAAACGGAGCACUACGUGAACGAGUACUUUGAAAUCGUUCUUUUUCACGAAUCACUUAACACCUAACACUGAGAAACGAGCAACAGACUUCAAGCGACUACCUGCGACGAUCGGGCGGCAUCGCUUGCCGGCUCGUCCCUGUGGCCCAAGACCACGACCUU